GGCGGUGUAGCCAAGUGGUUACGGCGAUUGAUUAGAAACCAAUUCCUCUUUGAAGGCGUAGGUUCAAAUACUGCUAUCGUCG
rfam:Sphaerobolus stellatus SS14 unplaced genomic scaffold SPHSTscaffold_54, whole genome shotgun sequence.